ACUCAAAUGAAUUGACGGGGACCCACACAAGCGGUGGAGCAUGGGGUUUAAUUCGAUGAUAACCGAAGCACCUCACCCAGACUUGACAUCCUUGGAAUCUUCCAGAAAUGGAGGAGUGCCGUAAGGAACCAAGAGACAGGCGAUGCACGGUCGUCGUCAGCUCGUGCCUUGAGGUGUACUGUUAAGUCAGCCAACGAGCGCAACCCUCAUCCUAUGUUGUUUUUUCAUAGGAGACUGCCGCCUCCAAGGCGGAGGAAGGUGAGGAUGACGUCAGAUCAGCGUGUCCUUUAUGUCUGGGGCAACACCCGUGCUACAAUGGUCGGUACAGAGGGCAGCGAAGCCGUAAGGUGAAGCUAAUCCCACAAACCCGAUCUCAGUCCGGAUUGAAGUCUGCAACUCGACUUCAUGAAGUUGGAAUCGCUAGUAACCGUGAAUCAGCUAUGUCACGGUGAAUAUGUUCCUGGGUCUUGUACACACCGCCCGU
rnacentral:rRNA from 1 species